GACGAACGCUGGCGGCGUGCUUAACACACGCAAGUCGAACGAGCGGCGGAAGGGUGAGUAAUGCCUAGGAAUCUGCCUGGUAGUGGGGGAUAACGUCCGGAAACUGGCGCUAAUAACGCGUACCAUAGCAUGAGCCCCAGUGGGAUUAGGUAGUUGGUGAGGUAAAGGCUCACCAAGCGGAAGAUCUCUAGCUGGUCUGAGAGGAUGACCAGCAACCAUGGGACUGAGACACGGCCCAGACUCCUACGGGAGGCAGCAGGGGGGAAUAUUGCGCAAUGGGCGCAACCCUGACGCAGCCAUGCCGCGGGAAUGAAGAAGGCCUUCGGGUUGUAAAGUUCUUUCAGUAGCGAGGCGUUAACUACAGAAGAAGCACCGGCUAACUCCGUGCCAGCCGCCGCGGUAAUUC
rnacentral:rRNA from 1 species